CCAAAUACUCCUCUAAUGAAGCUAUAAAAUAACUACAAGCUCCUCUUCCAUCAACCAUCAAAAAUUGAAAAGUAAGCAAACACAGAAAUUUCUCAAAAAGCUAACCAAAAAUGUCUCUGAUCCCAAGAAUCUUCGGCGACCGACGAAGCAGUAGCAUGUUCGAUCCAUUUUCAAUUGACGUAUUUGAUCAAUUUAGGGGAUUAGGCUUUCCAGGUACCAAUUCAGGGGAGACCUCUGCAUUUGCUAACACUCGAAUCGAUUGGAAGGAAACUCCAGAAGCUCAUGUGUUCAAGGCUGAUCUUCCAGGGCUUAAGAAGGAGGAAGUGAAAGUGGAGAUCGAAGAAGAUAGGGUUCUUCAGAUCAGCGGAGAGAGGAACGUGGAGAAAGAAGAUAAGAACGACACUUGGCAUCGUGUGGAACGCAGCAGUGGAAAAUUCAUGAGGAGAUUUAGACUUCCAGAGAACGCAAAGAUGGAUCAAGUCAAGGCUUCUAUGGAGAAUGGAGUGCUGACUGUCACUGUUCCAAAGGAAGAAGUGAAGAAGCCUGAUGUCAAGUCUAUUGAAAUCUCUGGUUAAAACUUCAUUUGCUUGUUAAGUGGUAGUAUAUGAUGUAUGAGCAAAUAAUCAGUUGGAUAUUUUAAGUUGCUGUGUCUUUGUAUUCAAGUGUUUUGAGUUGUCUCUGUUUCUGAUGUUCAAGAUAUGAAAUACUAACCCUUUUCAGUCUGUUCCAAAUUCCUCUUUUAUGUUUUUUUCUGGUAAUAAACAUUAUUCAUUUAAAACAAAACAAAUCCAAUAUAAAACAAAACAAAUCCAAUAUAAAACAAAACAAAUAAAUCAAGUUCGUUAAUACUUGAAGUAAAAUAAUUAUUAUUUUUAAUGAUUAUUAUGAAUUGUUUAUGUAAUUUUCUCCUUAUUUUUUCAUUACAACAUGAGAUGAAUUAAUUGAUAUAUAGUUGUGUUUUCCACCCUUCAAAAUUUGGAUAUGGCUUUUUGUUUAGCUAUUAUUUGGACUUUAUAGUUGAUAUAUUGUCUUAUUAUCGUUGGCAAGAAAUCAUGAGUGUGACUUUUGGUCACAGAAAUCUCUUUAAAUUGUGUUUCGAUAUUAUAUUUCCUUCAUAUAAUCUUAGGAAGGAUCCGCAGAAAAUAGCAGAUUGUGGGCCGUUGUAAAGAACAAAGCUGGUUGAAUUGAGCCGACUAAAACAAGCCCAAUUUCGAUAUUUCAAUUGUGUAAUGGGCCUAUCCAGAAACUUCUCCACAUCUGCUUUUGGAAUAUCUAGAAAUGUCUCUGUGGAUAGUAGAAGUAUGGAGAAACUGCUAAACACUCCUCCAAUGAAGCUAUAAAUAACUACCGCCUCCUCUUCAAUCAACCAUCAAAAUCGAAAGCAAGCAAGCAAAAAAACGUAGAAAAUUCUCAAAAAAGUUCACUGAAAAUGUCUCUGAUCCCAAGAAUUUUCGGCGAUCGACGAAGCAGCAGCAUGUUCGAUCCAUUUUCAAUUGACGUAUUUGAUCCAUUCAGGGAAUUAGGCUUCCCAGGUACCAAUUCAGGGGAGAGCUCUGCAUUUGCCAACACACGAAUAGACUGGAAGGAAACUCCAGAAGCUCAUGUGUUCAAGGCUGAUCUUCCAGGGCUUAAGAAGGAGGAAGUCAAAGUGGAAGUCGAGGAGGAUAGGGUUCUUCAGAUCAGCGGAGAGAGGAACGUGGAGAAGGAAGAUAAGAAUGACAAGUGGCAUCGCGUGGAGCGAAGCAGCGGGAAAUUCAUGAGGAGAUUUAGACUUCCGGAGAAUGCAAAGAUGGAUCAAGUUAAGGCUUCAAUGGAGAACGGAGUGCUUACUGUUACUGUUCCAAAAGAAGAGGUGAAGAAGCCUGAGGUCAAGUCCAUUGAGAUUUCUGGUUAAAAAUACAUUUGUGAAUUAAGUUGAUGUGUAUGGUCAAAUAAAUAACUGAGUUGUUGUGUCUGUUGAAGGUUUGAAGUUGCUCUGUUUUUCUAUCGAAAGUCUUGAGUCGGCUUUGUUUCUCGCCUAAUGGCGUGUUGUACUUUUCCAAGUUUCACGUUUAAUAUGAAAAAUUUGUCUUUUUUUUACUGUAAUUUGUUAUUUCAUAUUUACCAAACUUAAAAAAAUAAUAAUUUAGCAAAUCUGAAUUUUUUUAAUAUAUUAUUAAAGUAAUUUUAUAAAAGCAAAUUUUUAAGUAAAAUAAAAAGAUUGUCGACACAGAUCAAAAACAUAGAUUUUGCUUAGUCCUCUCGAUAUAUGCUUUUUAGACUUUGGAAUUUCAACUGCUAGGCAUACGAGCCACUCACUUCUAUAAAAAAAAUUAAAUUAUUUUUUGUAAAUUAUAGAUUAAAUUAGGAAAAAAUGACAGAAAUUUCACUUUAGAUUUUCUUACUACAAUUAUUUCUUAUUAUUAGUUUUACAAAUUCUCAAAAUUUUCUCAUUUUCGCGCAUCAAGUUAAUGUAUAAGCGCAUUAAAUUAAUGUAUCUUGUAUAUCAUAUUAGUGUAUUAUGUAUAAAUUUACAUUAAAUUAGUGUAUUAUAUAUAAAAUAUAAUAUAUUUUAUUUAACGAUUAAUGUAUUGACAUAUCAAAUUAAUAUAUUAACGUUUAUAUUAUUAUAUCAGUUUAAGUAAUUUUUGUAAUUAUAAAAAAUUUAUUACGAACAAUGGAUACAUUUAUAAUUACAAGAAACAAAGGAUAAUUUUAUAGGGAAAAUUGUAUAUAAUAGCAAACUAAUAACCUAAAAUAAAUAGAGUAGAUAGAGUUUGAUUUAAUUGUGCUCCAUAGCAAACGUUAGCCAAAGUUUGUCUGGCGCCUCUCUCCAAAAAAUCUCGCUCGCCACUCUCCCAUUCUCGCACGCCACUCUCCCUCUGCUUGCCUCUCUCGCUUUAUACACAGAAGUGUAUAAAUUAUGUUUCUGUUUUGUAUAAAGCGAGAGAAAAUUGUAUAUACACAUGCAAAAACAUAUAUUUCCGUGUUAUACACUUAAUUAUACAAUUUAAAACAUUUUUCUUCAAUUCAAUUGUAGACAAAUGCAAAUUUUAUACAAAUAUUACAGAGAAAAAGGCCAACGAAUUAUACACUUGCAGUGAAAUACAAUUUUUUCUAGAUGUAUACAACAGAAGUGUAUAUAUUGUGUUUCUAUUUUUGUAUAAAGCGAGAGAAAAACAUAUAUCUUCUUGCUAUACACUUAUAAUUAUGCAAUAUACAUAUAUUUUAAUUCGAUUCAAUUGUAUGCAGAAUAAUUUUUAUAAAAAUAUUACAACGAAAUAGGCAACAAAUUAUAUAAUUGUGCAUUAUACAAUUGCAGUGAAAUAGGAUAACGAAUUAUCCAAUUGCAGCGAAAUAGGCCAGCGAAUUAUACAAUUUAAGCCAGCAAAUUAAACAACUGUAUAUGUAUAGCGAAUUAUACAAUUUUAUAUUUUCUAUGAGCGUAAUUAUGCAAACUUCGUUAUAUCAUACAAAUAUAAAAUUUUUAUUUGUUAUACGUGAAAUUUUCCCAUAAUUUAUAUCUUUUGCCAAAUUAGAGUAGGGUACGUCGGCCCAUGGCCUUUAACGGGCCAGAACAAUGGAGUCCAUUAAAACAUAUUUAGGUUUUUGUUGCUUCCUAUAAAUACACCUGAAAAUUCUCUCUUCAAACAUAACUCUACCUUUCUGCUCUCUGCAGCAGCAGCAGCAAGGGCUAAACAUGAAAACCUUAUUUAUUUUUAUUUUUAUUUUAUUCUUGGCAAAUAUUACUCAUCUUUGAUUGUAAGUUAUUGAAAACUUAUGGGAUGUAUGAUUAGACAUUUUGCAAACAAUGCAUAUAUAUGUCUACUAGAUUCAUCUUUUUUUUUCUUCCUUCAAAUAGUUUGUUUUUAAUUCUUCAUGGAUGAUGGUGUGUAAGAAUGAUGAAGAAAUCAUUCGGAUUCCCACUGAUAUUUAUUUGUGAUUACCACAACCAGCUACUUCUGACUUCACAUCCCUUUUUCAGAUUUUAAUUUUUAUAUGGAUUUGGAAUUUGACAAUUUGAAACCUUUUUCAGAUUUUAAUUUUUAUAUGGAUUUGGAAUUUGAUAAUUUGAAACAAAAAGGGCCUGUGAUGUAAGUAAAUAUUUGCUACUCUUGAUGGAAAUUUAAAUUUCCAUCUGAUGAUUCUCUAUCCACCAAGAUCUCUGAGGCCUUGUUCUUAAAUCUUAUAUCUUUCUAAAAUAAUUUUGAAAUUGUUCUGUUCUUUUAUCCAGGUUGAGUCGUUAAAAUGUACCAAUAUUAUUAUAUUUUCCUUUUUUUGAUCCUGUUUAAAUUUGUCAUAUAUCUUUCUUAUUUUUCUUUUUCAGUUAAAUGGAUCCAAAUCGUAUAAUGAUUAGUUUUUUCUUUUUUUGAUGCUUUAAAAUUACAUUACGCAUAUACACCACAUAGAGGUUACAUUAUUUCAACUUCGCAGGCUUACAAUACCAAGAUUCAUGUUAUGGUACCAUAUAUAUUGAAUUAUUAUAUGGUAUGUAGCAAAUUAUCAAUGUUAUUAUUUUGGUAUUAUUAUGAUUAUUUGAUAUAUUAUAUUUUAUUUUUUAAAUACCUCGCAUAAUAUCUCUACAUGGAUAAUGCUUUGGUAAUCUAUGUUAAUUUAGAGAUUAGAUAUUCAAAUAAUUAAUCGACUAAAAAUCAAGACUAAACCAAUUAAUUAUAAAAUAACUCAUUCAUUUUUAAACAAUUUGCUAUUAUUAUGUUCCCCAUGUAUUUUUUAAUUUCUUCUAAAUUUUCUCUCCUAAUUACUCUGAAUUUCAAGUAUUUCAUUAUUUUGCUCCCAAUGUGGCUUUAAAAAUUUUAGGUACCGCUAAAACAAUUUUAUAUUAAAUUUUUAUCUAUAUGUUUUUUUCAAUUUUACAAGUUAUCUUUGAGUUAAUUCAUUAUAUUCAGAGUUCUUAAUUAUGCAAUUGAAUAAUCAUUCUUUUCGUAGGUUCUAACGUAAGAUUUUGAAGAGGUUGCAGGUUUAUUGGUAAAAUUCAAUGCAGUAGAAGUAGUUUGGGUUCAAAUUGAAAAAAAUAAUCUAAUUGGAUUGAGGAAAUUAUUGUAAAAUCGAAGCAAUCUAACAUCAGAAUUGUGGAGUACUAGUUUUCCCCAAUCUGAUUGGAUCAUUUUCAAUUUUUUUUCAAUUUGGAACUGGACAUGCAACCUCCCCAAUUAGACCCAAGGAAAAAAACAAUUUUGUUCAACAAUAUUUUAUCCAUGCUGAUGUAUACUUCUUGUCAAUCAUUUAGUCAAUCUUUUAGAACAUUUGAUGGAUGAUAAAUUGAUAUGAAUAAUAAUUAAAUUAAUAGAUUUAGACCAAGUUUUGGUGAUUGAAAGUUAUGGAGUUCAAUGAAAUAAAAUGAAUAUCUUCAAUUUUACUUAUACAAUUUCGUGUGACCCAUUAAUAUUUAAUUAUUCAAAAUUAUAGUUACUCAAAAUAUAUGAAUGAAGCACUAGAUAUAUUAUUUAUUUUAAAUUAAUUGUUCGGUCUGUUGUUCUUAUAACAUGAUCUUAACCUAGUAUUAGCUAAAUUUUGUGGAAUGUAAAUAACGGGCCCUUAAAAUAAGGACAGAGUACUUGUAUAAUUGGGCCUGUUGAAGCCCAAUUUGCAUAGGUCACUUGUAUGAUCUGUGACGUGGCCUGCGGUAUUUGUCCCGAAAGUUCUCGACAUCACCUUACUGAAGUAUCUACUUGGCUCUAGAAAUAUCUCAAUGAUGGUAGAACGAACCUGCUAAACACUUCUAUAGGAAAAGCUAUAAAUAACUAUCCAAUCCUUAUCUAUCAACCAUCAAAACUGAAAGCAAGUAAACACAGAAAAUUCUCAAUAGCUCACUGAAAAUGUCACUGAUCCCAAGAAUCUUCGGCGACCGACGAAGCACCAGCGUGUUCGAUCCAUUUUCAAUUGACGUAUUUGAUCCAUUCAAGGAAUUAGGCUUCACAGUUUCAAAUUCAGGGGAGACCUCUGCAUUUGCCAACACUCGAAUCGACUGGAAGGAAACUCCAGAAGCUCAUGUGUUCAAGGCUGAUCUUCCAGGGCUUAAGAAGGAGGAAGUCAAAGUGGAGAUCGAAGAGGAUCGUGUUCUUCAGAUCAGCGGAGAGAGGAACGUGGA
rnacentral:lncRNA from 1 species